rnacentral:pre_miRNA from 1 species
UGUGGCAAGCUGAUCUGUGGUACUUUUAGUCUGGAAUACCUUUUCUCCAAAUCACAUCAUCUUGAGUCAAAUCUCAGCCUUCUCAAACCAGAGGGUUUAUUUUUUAAGAAAUUAUUCAAAUUAAAAACAUGGGUUGAGAACGCUGAGAUUUGACUCAAGAUGAUGUGAUUUGGAGAAAAGGUAUUCCAGACUAAAAGUACCACAGAUCAGCUUGCCACA